UGGGGAAUAUUGGACAAUGGGCGCAAGCCUGAUCCAGCCAUGCCGCGUGUGUGAUGAAGGCCUUAGGGUUGUAAAGCACUUUCGCCGAUGAAGAUAAUGACUGUAGUCGGAGAAGAAGCCCCGGCUAACUUCGUGCCAGCAGCCGCGGUAAUACGAAGGGGGCUAGCGUUGUUCGGAAUUACUGGGCGUAAAGCGUACGUAGGCGGAUUGUUAAGUGAGGGGUGAAAUCCCGAGGCUCAACCUCGGAACUGCCUUUCAUACUGGCAAUCUUGAGUCCGGGAGAGGUGAGUGGAACUCCUAGUGUAGAGGUGAAAUUCGUAGAUAUUAGGAAGAACACCAGUGGCGAAGGCGGCUCACUGGCCCGGAACUGACGCUGAGGUACGAAAGCGUGGGGAGCAAACA
rnacentral:rRNA from 1 species